AGAUUGAACGCUGGCGGCAUGCCUUACACAUGCAAGUCGAACGGUAACAGCACUUCGGUGGCUGACGAGUGGCGAACGGGUGAGUAAUACAUCGGAACGUGCCCGAUCGUGGGGGAUAACUACUCGAAAGAGUGGCUAAUACCGCAUACGAUCUACGGAUGAAAGCGGGGGAUCGCAAGACCUCGCGCGGACGGAGCGGCCGAUGGCAGAUUAGGUAGUUGGUGGGAUAAAAGCUUACCAAGCCGACGAUCUGUAGCUGGUCUGAGAGGACGACCAGCCACACUGGAACUGAGACACGGUCCAGACU
rnacentral:rRNA from 1 species